rnacentral:rRNA from 1 species
CGGUCUCCUCCUAAAGAGUAACGGAGGAGCACGAAGGUUGGCUAAUCCUGGUCGGACAUCAGGAGGUUAGUGCAAUGGCAUAAGCCAGCUUGACUGCGAGCGUGACGGCGCGAGCAGGUGCGAAAGCAGGUCAUAGUGAUCCGGUGGUUCUGAAUGGAAGGGCCAUCGCUCAACGGAUAAAAGGUACUCCGGGGAUAACAGGCUGAUACCGCCCAAGAGUUCAUAUCGACGGCGGUGUUUGGCACCUCGAUGUCGGCUCAUCACAUCCUGGGGCUGAAGUAGGUCCCAAGGGUAUGGCUGUUCGCCAUUUAAAGUGGUACGCGAGCUGGGUUUAGAACGUCGUGAGACAGUUCGGUCCCUAUCUGCCGUGGGCGCUGGAGAACUGAGGGGGGCUGCUCCUAGUACGAGAGGACCGGAGUGGACGCAUCACUGGUGUUCGGGUUGUCAUGCCAAUGGCACUGCCCGGUAGCUAAAUGCGGAAGAGAUAAGUGCUGAAAGCAUCUAAGCACGAAACUUGCCCCGAGAUGAGUUCUCCCUGACUCCUUGAGAGUCCUGAAGGAACGUUGAAGACGACGACGUUGAUAGGCCGGGUGUGUAAGCGCAGCGAUGCGUUGAGCUAACCGGUACUAAUGAACCGUGAGG